GACGAACGCUGGCGGCGUGCUUAACACAUGCAAGUCGAACGGAAAGGCCCUGCUUUUGUGGGGUGCUCAAGUGGCGAACGGGUGAGUAACACGUGAGUAACCUGCCCUUGACUUUGGGAUAACUUCAGGAAACUGGGGCUAAUACCGGAUAGGAGCUCCUGCUGCAUGGUGGGGGUUGGAAAGUUUCGGCGGUUGGGGAUGGACUCGCGGCUUAUCAGCUUGUUGGUGGGGUAGUGGCUUACCAAGGCUUUGACGGGUAGCCGGCCUGAGAGGGUGACCGGCCACAUUGGGACUGCGAUACGGCCCAGACUCCUACGGGAGGCAGCAGUGGGGAAUAUUGUACAAUGGGCGGAAGCCUGAUGCAGCAACGCCGCGUGCGGGAUGACGGCCUUCGGGUUGUAAACCGCUUUCGCCUGUGACGAAGCGUGAGUGACGGUAAUGGGUAAAGAAGCACCGGCUAACUACGUG
rnacentral:rRNA from 1 species